UACGUAGGGCGCAAGCGUUGUCCGGAAUUAUUGGGCGUAAAGAGCUCGUAGGCGGUCUGUCGCGUCCGUUGUGAAAACUCGAGGCUCAACCUCGGGCUUGCAGUGGAUACGGGCAGACUAGAGUGCGGUAGGGGAGACUGGAAUUCUUGGUGUAGCGGUGAAAUGCGUAGAUAUCAAGAGGAACACCUGCGGCGAAGGCGGGUUGCUGGGCCGACACUGACGCUGAGGCGCGAAAGCCAGGGGAGCGAACGGG
rnacentral:rRNA from 1 species